UUCUCCUUUUCAUUUGUAGAGAGAGAAAAAGUUAACCUGAUUUCCCUCAGACGUUUCACUACUCUGUGAAACCCUACCCUUCAGAUCUUGAAUCCCCCUAAUCUCCUUUUCUUCAAUCAUCGCCACCCAAAAGUUGCUACUAAAGAUCGUAUGUAUGGUUAUGUGUAUUCACCAACACACCAACCUCUGCUCAGUGUAGGAUUAUCAUGUUCAAAGGCAAGAAUUAUUGUCGCGAUGUUUGUGGAACCAACAUUUAACAAGUUGUGCGGCUUUAAUUGGGACCGGAUUCGAACUUGAGACCUCUGACUUGAAACCCAAAUCUUCAUUUCCUGUGGAACGCCAAUUAAGCUAUAGCUCAUUGGCUGAUAAUUAACUUUCUCAUGAUGGAAAAUUAGAGUCCUCUAUCAAUGGAAAAGAGAGAGAGAGAGAGAGAGAGAGAGAGGGAGAAGUGAGAAGUGAGAGCUCAUCCCUAAUCCCUGAUGUAGUUUCUCCGUCGCCCCUUCUCCACUGAUGACACAACCAGCGACCGUCUAAACCAUCUCCUCCUCUUAAAGAGCUCAUCAUCUUGGGACAAAAUCAUGGCUGGUUAUCCUUAACCUACCCCCUGUGGAUGCAAAAAGUCAAAACCGUGUUGAGCGGAAAAAGCCCUAACUGCCUUUUACCGCCCGAAAGUUAGCGGUAAUCAAACAUCCAUGAAUCUUCUUUACGCCGCCACCGGAGAACUUUCUCGAAGAAAAAUGGUUGAAGAAGCUUGUGACGGUGACGAUGGUUUACAGGGCACCGUGAAUCUACCAAACAAAAGUUAUUUAUGGUUCAUCGGCUAACGACCGAGACACCGAUGACGGCUGAGGAUGGUGAUUGUUAAGGCAUCUCUGUUAAGGCUUUGUGUUGAUUCGAGCAGCUUCACAGAUAUUUCAUUGAUUGAGAUGCGGGAACAUAUAAAGAAACGUCCACCAUUAGCAUUAGCAACGACUGAAAAUUUUCCACAAUGGUAAUUUGAUCGAAUUUAAAGAAGCAAAGGAAGUUGGUUCGUCAAAUUAGAUUGGUAAGCCAAUUUUUAUUGAAUUCUGAGUUUAUUGAACCAAGCCGAUUUAACUGUUUACCAGACAGAAAAACAAUAGAAAGAUAAGGUUCCCUGUUAAAGAGAAAGUCAAAGAGAAACUUGGAUUGCACAAGGACGCCAUAAUUGGUGGGUCAACAUCGGCUAUUAAAGACGCCAUGGCUGCUCUUAACCAAGGAUUUAUGAAGCUUGGACAGGUGCUAUAGGCGUAGAUCCUACUCAUGAUGAUGCACCGGGGACUCAGUUUCAAAUUAUAGUCCCUAGACAAGCAAGGCACAUGUGUAUUCUAGGCAGUUUCAGACCUAUUUUAGUUGUUACAAACCGUUCUAGCAGAUUUUUAAACUGGUUACCCAGUUUUUUUCCGAUUGAGUGCGCUGAUUGAGUGCGCUGUGCUGCAUUCAAGGCGGUUUGGCUAGGCCUCGCCUCAAAGUUGUAACUGUUUAGAUUAUGUUUUACUUAGGCGUUUAAAAGCAUGGUCUGUAUAUGAAGAGCAUGAAUAUGUUUUUUGGGGGAAUGAUGUAUAAAAUUUACAAUAUUGCAGGGC
rnacentral:lncRNA from 1 species